AACAACAGGGAUUGCCUUAGUAACGGCGAGUGAAGCGGCAAAAGCUCAAAUUUGAAAUCUGGCACCUUCGGUGUCCGAGUUGUAAUUUGAAGAAGGUAACUUUGGAGUUGGCUCUUGUCUAUGUUCCUUGGAACAGGACGUCACAGAGGGUGAGAAUCCCGUGCGAUGAGAUGCCCAAUUCUAUGUAAAGUGCUUUCGAAGAGUCGAGUUGUUUGGGAAUGCAGCUCUAAGUGGGUGGUAAAUUCCAUCUAAAGCUAAAUAUUGGCGAGAGACCGAUAGCGAACAAGUACAGUGAUGGAAAGAUGAAAAGAACUUUGAAAAGAGAGUGAAAAAGUACGUGAAAUUGUUGAAAGGGAAGGGCUUGAGAUCAGACUUGGUAUUUUGCGAUCCUUUCCUUCUUGGUUGGGUUCCUCGCAGCUUACUGGGCCAGCAUCGGUUUGGAUGGUAGGAUAAUGACUAAGGAAUGUGGCUCUACUUCGGUGGAGUGUUAUAGCCUUGGUUGAUACUGCCUGUCUAGACCGAGGACUGCGUCUUUGACUAGGAUGCUGGCAUAAUGGUC
rnacentral:rRNA from 1 species